UCGCGAAUCGAACAUCCCCACUGGAGGCGUAACCGUGCAGAACCUGAGCUAAAAUCCGCACCCUGCUUAACUCUAUCGCAUUCAUUGAAUCUUCUCCGUCUCAGAGCAGCACCAGCGAGCGUAUACAGCAAUGGCCAAUUAUAUUCACGUCCCAGAAGGCGCGCCUGUGGUUCCAAAAUUAGACGUGACUCUAGAUGAGCACGAUUACAGAGCCGGAGCGCUGAAACUGAUCAAGACGCUGAGACCCCACUGGAAACCUUCGGAGGUCAAAAUGAAGUCUUUCACCGACGGUAUCACAAACAAGCUGAUUGGCUGUUACGUCGGUGGGUCCAUGCAGGACGUGGUCCUGGUUCGGGUCUACGGGAACAAGACAGAACUGUUUGUGGACCGUGAGAACGAAGUGAAGAGCUUCCGCGUCCUGCAGGCGCACCGAUGUGCUCCACGCCUCUACUGCACCUUCAACAACGGCCUGUGCUAUGAGUUCCUGCAGGGAGUGGCCCUGGAGCCCGAGCACAUCCGGAGCCCUGCCUUCUUCAGGCACAUUGCGAGGCAGAUGGCAAAGUACCAUGCCAUACAUGCCCACAACGGCUGGGUGCCCCAAUCAGACCUCUGGCUGAAGAUGAGCAAGUUCUUUUCUCUUGUUCCUACACACUUUGAAGACCCUGAGAAGGACCAGAGGCUGAACAAUGAGGUGCCCAGUGCUGCGUGUCUUAGAGACGAGAUGAUCUGGCUUCAGCAGAACCUUUCUAAACUGGGCUCCCCAGUCGUUCUGUGUCACAACGAUCUGCUCUGUAAGAACAUCAUCUACAAACAACAGGAAGAUGUGAGUUUGCCCAAAUCUCUUCAUCUGCUGCACAGGGCUAUAGCCACUGACUGGAGGUGUUCAGUGUGUCCCGCUAGGACGCCACCGGGUCCGGUAACCACCUCACGUGUCUCUUUCUGUAGACCUACACUUCUGUCCAAUGUCAAUCAAACUUUUUUUCUACACACCUUAAGCUCUAGAGCACUGGGAAUGCAAGGCAACGUAAAGUCAAACACACAUUAGGUGCAAUAAUAUGCAUAUUACAAACUAGGCAGUGAUUUUUCAUAUAUUAUACUGUAUUUGUAUACAUACACAUGCAUUACACAUGUAGAGUGAGAGGAGUAAGGCUUUGUAUUCAACACUGUCUACAUCACCUGACUGAUCAAGUCAAUGCUUGCUAGACCACUGCUAUAUGUGCCACUAGAUGGCAACAUUGCCCAUUUUCUCUCCUUUACCUCCUCUGUCCUUCCAGCCCUGUGGUUUUAUAGUACAGCGCCGUCUCCGUAUUUUUAUUUUGUACUUUUUUAUUUAUUUGCAUUUGGUAAUGCUGUCAACUCUUAUCUAACCUGACAUGUUUAUACAUUUUUGCUCUGUUCACUUUUAUUUUACUCUCUUUUUACUUUUACUGUUGUGUUUCCUGAGGAGUGUUUAUGUGAGGCGCUCUUUCUGUCACCAGUAACGAGACGUCCUGGAAAACUUGUAAUUACUUUGCCCACUCACUAAUAAUUUGUAUUCAAGCAGGAAUCAUUGUUUGUUUUCGGUUUAAAUAUUCUAAAAAAGAAAGAAAUAAAAAUCCACAUUUUCCUUUAAACAAAAAAUAAAACAAAGUUGCAAGUUUUCCACUUUUCUUCUCAACAGAUUCAUGUAAAUGGUGAUUCAUCAAUUAGAUAAACUUUUUUAAUUAAUAACAUAAGUAAUUUUAUUUUGAAAAGAUGAUCAUAAUUUUUUUUAUAUUAUUAUUAUAAAAACUAAACUUUAAACAUGUAUUGUUUUUAAUUGCUUGUGUUGAAAUAUUGCACUUUCCAGAAUAUAGAAUCAAUUUCACUUACCCCAUACACUUAAAACGUUAUAAUACAUUAUUGAAUUAUUAAAAAGUGUAAUGAAUAAUGUUCAUAUUUUGGUAUGAUGGAAAUGAUACAUGAUGUGGUAACAUGAGUAUAGUGAACAUCAAAAUUAUAAUUAAAAAUAUUGCAUCAUGAACUGAGAGGUUUUUUGACCAAAAUGGUCAGUAUCUGAGAAUUUUAAUUCAGAAACAGUAUCUUUUCAACAGUUCAAAAGUUAAUUGAGUGCAACUUUUUGUCCACACACACAAAAAAUCAUUACCAUCACACACAAAAUCAAAAACCUCCAAUAGGCAAGAACAGCUCAUUAUUAGAGGAUGUGAAAUUCUUUUUUACAUGAAAUGAAACCGUGUGAAAAAAAAAGUUUAAUUUUUCAAAGUGCCCCUAAUUGUAGAAUCAUCUCUAUAUAACAUGCUGUUUUUUCCCACAUGCAUGCUAUAAGUGCAUGAAAUCUGUCCCCAUGUCUUGUUCACUUUAUCAUUUGUUUAUUCUUUCUUGUCUUUCUUGUGCACCAGAAUGCAAAUCCUUACUCCUUUUUUCAGAUUUGAUUUGAUAACUCAUUUAAAUUGCAGAUAAUGCCCAUUGUAGUGUUGGUUUGCUAAUACAGGCAAUAGAUUGUUACAGUAAAAAAGAACAAGGGUUAUUAAGAAGACAAAGCCCGUGUGCUUUUCUAAACAAAUUGCUAUUUGUUUCCCCUCCUGCAGGAAAUGUCAAAUUCAUUGACUACGAAUAUGCUGGGUACAAUUAUCAAGCCUUUGAUAUUGGCAAUCACUUCAAUGAAUUUGCAGGUCUGAAUGAGGUGGACUACACCCUGUAUCCUGGGCGAGAGCUCCAGUUGCAGUGGCUCCGGGCCUAUCUGGAGGCCUACAAGGAGUACAAAUCACAGGGCACACAGGUCUCCAACACUGAAGUGGAGGUGCUAUACGUGCAAGUCAACCGCUUCGCCUUG